rnacentral:rRNA from 1 species
UAACACGUGGAUAACCUACCUAUAAGACUGGGAUAACUUCGGGAAACCGGAGCUAAUACCGGAUAAUAUAUUGAACCGCAUGGUUCAAUAGUGAAAGACGGUUUUGCUGUCACUUAUAGAUGGAUCCGCGCUGCAUUAGCUAGUUGGUAAGGUAACGGCUUACCAAGGCAACGAUGCAUAGCCGACCUGAGAGGGUGAUCGGCCACACUGGAACUGAGACACGGUCCAG